rnacentral:tRNA from 1 species
CGGGAUGUGGCGCAGUCCGGUAGCGUACUUGCCUGGGGGGCAAGGGGUCGUGGGUUCAAAUCCCGCCAUCCCGA